UUUCAGGAAUUGACUAUUUGGAGGCAGAAAAAAGAAAGAAAGCGCUACUAAAAAUAUGUGCUUCUUGCCUGUGGAUUUUUUUGACAAGCGCUAAGAGAUUGCGAUCCUUCCUAAAUUAUUGUUUCACUUCAGUACCUAGAUCAAUUGUUUGUUUGUUUUUUUUUCAUUUCACUAAAUACAAGAAACUAAAAGAUAGUUUUAUUGUGAUUUAUAUUAUAUACUUUUAGAUGCAUAAAAAUUAAAACUUUUGAGACAAGAUAUCAAACGAAAUUGUUGACUUUUUCUAUUUUAAAACAACAUUGUAUUUUCUAACAAUGCUAUUUCGACCAAAUACUGAAAAUAAAAUAAAAACUGUUGCUAUUAGCCUAA
rnacentral:sRNA from 1 species